rnacentral:rRNA from 1 species
CUGGCUCAGGAUGAACGCUGGCGGCGUGCUUAACACAUGCAAGUCGAACGAAGACCAAAAGGAAGCUUGCUUCUUGAAGCUUAGUGGCGGACGGGUGAGUAACGCGUGAGUAACCUGCCCUUAAGUGGGGAAUAACACAGAGAAAUCUGUGCUAAUACCGCAUAAUGUCGGAGAGCCGCAUGACUUUCCGACCAAAGGAUUUAUUCGCUUAAGGAUGGACUCGCGUCCGAUUAGCUAGUUGGUGAGGUAACGGCCCACCAAGGCGACGAUCGGUAGCCGAACUGAGAGGUUGAUCGGCCACAUUGGGACUGAGACACGGCCCAGACUCCUACGGGAGGCAGCAGUGGGGAAUAUUGGGCAAUGGGGACCGAAAGCCUGACCCAGCAACGCCGCGUGAAGGAAGACGGUCUUCGGAUUGUAAACUUCUUUGAUUGGGGAAGAACAAAAUGACCUACCCAAAGAACAAGUCACGGCUAACUACGUGCCAGCCGCCGC